GGGCCCGCACAAGCGGUGGAGCAUGUGGUUUAAUUCGAUGCAACGCGCAGAACCUUACCAACCCUUGACAUACUCGUCGUCGCUCCAGAGAUGGAGCUUUCAGUUCGGCUGGACGAGAUACAGGUGCUGCAUGGCUGUCGUCAGCUCGUGUCGUGAGAUGUUCGGUUAAGUCCGGCAACGAGCGCAACCCACAUCCCUAGUUGCCAGCAGUUCGGCUGGGCACUCUAUGGAAACUGCCCGUGAUAAGCGGGAGGAAGGUGUGGAUGACGUCAAGUCCUCAUGGCCCUUACGGGUUGGGCUACACACGUGCUACAAUGGCAGUGACAAUGGGUUAAUCCCAAAAGCCAUCUCAGUUCGGAUUGGGGUCUGCAACUCGACCCAUGAAGUCGGAAUCGCUAGUAA
rnacentral:rRNA from 1 species